CGCCCAAGUCAGAUAAUAGAUCAAUUAGCUAGGCCAAUUUAGAUUAGAUUCCAGCUUACUUUACCUGUCCUGCUAUUCUUAUUUAUAGACUGCAUAUUUAUAACUGACCAUUAAUUUCAUUGAUUUGCAGCACCUUCCGUUACAUCUCCAUCAAGGCCCAUCAAUGCUCCUACAACCUCACUCCUACCCUGCCCUGCACCGUUCGGCCCCAAGUUGUACUCAUUCCCCAAACUUUGCCAGUCAGUCCGACCGAACUCCCUCCACUACACUUGGUCCGACCGAACCCUCUCC
rnacentral:lncRNA from 1 species